GACGAACGCUGGCGGCGUGCUUAACACAUGCAAGUCGAACGGUGAACCUCCAGCUUGCUGGAGUGGAUCAGUGGCGAACGGGUGAGUAACACGUGAGCAACCUGCCCCUGACUCUGGAAUAAGCGCUGGAAACGGCGUCUAAUACUGGAUACGAGAAGGGUCCGCAUGGGCACUUUCUGGAAAGUUUUUCGGUUGGGGAUGGGCUCGCGGCCUAUCAGCUUGUUGGUGAGGUAAUGGCUCACCAAGGCGACGACGGGUAGCCGGCCUGAGAGGGCGACCGGCCACACUGGGACUGAGACACGGCCCAGACUCCUACGGGAGGCAGCAGUGGGGAAUAUUGCACAAUGGGCGAAAGCCUGAUGCAGCGACGCCGCGUGAGGGAUGACGGCCUUCGGGUUGUAAACCUCUUUCAGCAGGGAAGAAGCGAAAGUGACGGUACCUGCAGAAGAAGCACCGGCUAACUACGUG
rnacentral:rRNA from 1 species